GAUGAACGCUAGCUACAGGCUUAACACAUGCAAGUCGAGGGGCAGCAUUAUCGAAGCUUGCUUUGAUAGAUGGCGACCGGCGCACGGGUGAGUAACGCGUAUCCAACCUUCCCCAUAGUCAGGAAUAGCCCGGCGAAAGUCGAAUUAAUGCCUGAUGUUUUCCACGGACGGCAUCUGAUGUGGAACAAAGAUUCAUCGCUAUGGGAUGGGGAUGCGUCUGAUUAGCUUGUUGGCGGGGUAACGGCCCACCAAGGCAACGAUCAGUAGGGGUUCUGAGAGGAAGGUCCCCCCACAUUGGAACUGAGACACGGUCCAAACUCCUACGGGAGGCAGCAGUGAGGAAUAUUGGUCAAUGGGCGAGAGCCUGAACCAGCCAAGUAGCGUGCAGGACGACGGCCCUAUGGGUUGUAAACUGCUUUUAUAAGGGAAUAAAGUGGGUCUCGUGAGACUUUUUGCAUGUACCUUAUGAAUAAGGACCGGCUAAUUCCGUGCCAGCAG
rnacentral:rRNA from 1 species